CUCAUGCAAUACGGCCAAAGUUUUGGAGUUUUCGGCUUCGAAGACUGCCUGCCAACCAUCGAGUUAAUGGAAAUGAUAUUCAAGUGGUUCACAAUACACAACAUGAGGAAUACAACUUGCCACGUUGUAAGCCGGGACCGAAAGAGGAUGCCCUUCAGUUCCCCAGAUGAUGACAGGUUGUCAUGGCUGGAACAGGAAUUCUUGCCCUUUUUCGCUACAUGGAAGGCCGCGGCACCGCACAAGAAGGCACUCAUUUCACUUGAAACAUACGAAGCUCUGCAACUGACCACAAUGUCCACAGUACGGUGCACACAAUUUCUUAUCCGUUCCGUUUUCCUAUACGACUGCAAACUUUUCAAGCGACCCUGUAGAAGCACUUUUCUCCACCAUUAGACAGCUAAACGGAUCCAACGAUCAGACAGACGCCCGCGCUGUACUUUCAUCCCUGCAGAAAGUCCUAGUGAUGGGAUUGCUUCAAUCUUCACCAAGCGGAAGUACGGAGCAAGCAACAUGUCCUCUUGGAUCCCCCUGUGCAAGUCAGGCGUCGUGUUCCACAGCACCAAACGCAAAACCUCAGCAAUGGCACUCAGAAGUACACCAAAAUUAAGGGUCAUUAGACGACUGUGCGGCAGCGAAAUCUGCUUCUAUGACACAAACAAUGCGGCCACAUCUGGAAGCCCUGCAGACUUGCAGUGGUCCCCCACAGCCAGGCAUUAGGGCCAGCACGCUUGGCCUUAUAGCGGGCUUCCUGGUCAAGACAGCUGAGGACUGC